UCUCACUGCCUCCGGUGGCUGCUGGGAUACCGGAGGACUCGGGUCCCGGCUCGACUCAGUCCUCCAGCCGCCCGGGGAAUACCUCUAGUUCUUCCCGGCCGCCGCCGCCUCCGCCCCGCCGCUUCCUCCUCCGCCUGCCGGCCUCCUUCGCCCCGCCCCGUCCGCGCAGCUCGUCCGGCCCGCCCGCAGGCCAGCUUCUCUCGGGAGCCUCCACCCAGGCGCAUGGCUCCAUGAAGCAAGAGGAGGAGGCAGAGCGCGAGAGAUCCCGUCCGCCCCAGCCGCGUCUGGGCCAGGAGAAAAGCAAAACCAUAUUCCUGCUGCUGUCAGUUUUGAUGCACUGAGAAAACUUCAGAGACCUAAGCUUUUUCCAGAGAAGAGAAGCUUUACUGGUGUUCCAGCCCUAAGGCUCAUAUGACAUUAACAGACAAGACACUUUUCAGAAAGACAGGCAACGUGUUGGACCUUCCGGAGCUUCUCAGAAGACAGAGGGUUUUCUUUUGAGGCUGUUGUACAGUGGCCUGAUUAUAGCUCACUGUAGCCUCGAAAUUCUGGGCCGAAAUGAUCCGCCUGCCUCAGCCUCCAAAGUAGCUGAGACUACAGUACCGUCUGGCAAAUGAUCUGCUUGGAUCCUCCUGGCUUUUUGAGAAUCGGCUGGCAUCAGGGUGCUGACUGACAAACUUCCCG
rnacentral:lncRNA from 1 species